GUUAGAUUGUUCCAGAUAAGACAAGUACAAGAUACUUCAGAGCCGUUCUACCACGAGCCUGACAGGAAGAACUCCAACAGCUACUGAAUGUUCCUGUGGUCCCCUCAAGGCUACAGGAGGAGCCCUACGAGGACGAGCCUGUCCACCUGAUGGUGGCCAGUCGCUGCGGUUCAAAGCCAACACCGACUACGUGGACUUCUACUGGACCACACGGAGGCCUUCAAACCGGACCAACAAGUUCAGCGACUCCCCGACUCGUGGGUCCGAGGACGCCGCCGAGCCUCGGUCCAGCCGGCCUCCUGUCUGUGGGUGUUUGAGUGCUGAGAGGCCUCCGUUGACUCGUCCCGCCUGCCGUCUCUGGAGCUGAAGCUGGAUUGGAACAGACCAAAG
ensembl:lncRNA